GGGUCUGUAGCUCAAUUGGUAGAGUGCUCCCUUAGCAUGGGAGAGGUACCGGGAUCGAAUGCUGUGCACGAUUGGCCCGGCAGAUCCA
rnacentral:tRNA from 1 species